AGUAGGAUGGUCCAGUGAUUAGGACCUUAGCCUGUAACUCUGGAGACCUGGGUUCAAUUCCCGGUCUGCCA
rnacentral:tRNA from 1 species